rnacentral:ribozyme from 1 species
UUGUUACGAAUGCGAAGAGCAGCAAAAAUGGGAAUCCAAAGGGUCGCACCCUCAUUAUUUGAUUUCCGGUCCAGGGGUAUCCUACUGUGCUCAAAAUGCAAAGCAAUAGAAAGAGAGAUUAGUUGCCAGGUAUGAUGUGUAAAAUCGUGUCCAAUGCCAUUUGUUGCUUAUAGAGACAUUUAGCAGAAACCUCGUCGGCCCUGUCAUCUUUUUGGAUGGGGUGUCCU